rnacentral:rRNA from 1 species
CCUACGGGGCGCAGCAGUGGGGAAUUUUCCGCAAUGGGCGAAAGCCUGACGGAGCAAUGCCGCGUGUGUGAAGAAGGUCUUCGGAUUGUAAAGCACUUUCGACGGGGACGAUGAUGACGGUACCCGUAGAAGAAGCCCCGGCUAACUUCGUGCCAGCAGCCGCGGUAAUACGAAGGGGGCUAGCGUUGCUCGGAAUGACUGGGCGUAAAGGGCGCGUAGGCGGUUUAUGCAGUCAGAUGUGAAAUCCCCGGGCUUAACCUGGGAACUGCAUUUGAGACGCAUAGACUAGAGGUCGAGAGAGGGUUGUGGAAUUCCCAGUGUAGAGGUGAAGUUCGUAGAUAUUGGGAAGAACACCGGUGGCGAAGGCGGCAACCUGGCUCAAUACUGACGCUGAGGCGCGAAAGCGUGGGGAGCAAACAGGAUUAGAUACCCCCGUAGUC